rnacentral:rRNA from 1 species
AUUGAACGCUGGCGGCAGGCCUAACACAUGCAAGUCGAGCGGAUGAAGGGAGCUUGCUCCUGGAUUCAGCGGCGGACGGGUGAGUAAUGCCUAGGAAUCUGCCUGGUAGUGGGGGAUAACGUCCGGAAACGGGCGCUAAUACCGCAUACGUCCUGAGGGAGAAAGUGGGGGAUCUUCGGACCUCACGCUAUCAGAUGAGCCUAGGUCGAAUUAGCUAGUUGGUGGGGUAAAGGCCUACCAAGGCGACGAUCCGUAACUGGUCUGAGAGGAUGAUCAGUCACACUGGAACUGAGACACGGUCCAGACUCCUACGGGAGGCAGCAGUGGGGAAUAUUGGACAAUGGGCGAAAGCCUGAUCCAGCCAUGCCGCGUGUGUGAAGAAGGUCUUCGGAUUGUAAAGCACUUUAAGUUGGGAGGAAGGGCAGCAAGUUAAUACCUUGCUGUUUUGACGUUACCAACAGAAUAAGCACCGGCUAACUUCGUG